rnacentral:rRNA from 1 species
AGCCUGCCCACUGAUUUGUUUUAAAGGGCCGCGGUAUAUUGACCGUGCGAAGGUAGCAUAAUCAUUAGUCUCUUAAUUGGAGGCUUGUAUGAAUGGUUGGACAAAAAGCAAGCUGUCUCAGCUAUAAUAAUUGAACUUAACUUUUAAGUGAAAAGGCUUAAAUGGUUCAGGGGGACGAUAAGACCCUAUAAAGCUUGACAAUAAUCCUGCUAAAUUAUAAAUUGUUAGUAUAACUUAAUUCUAGCUAGAAUUUGUUUCGUUGGGGCGACGGGAAUAUAAUAAAUAACUGUUCUUUUAAAUAUAGUUACAGAAAUGUCUGCUAUAAGAUUGAUCCUUUAUUAAAGAUUAAAAGAUUAAGUUACUUUAGGGAUAACAGCGUAAUCUUCUUUGAGAGUCCAUAUCGACAAGAAGGUUUGCGACCUCGAUGUUGAAUUAAGGUGUCCUUAUGAUGCAGCAGUUAUAAAGG